rnacentral:rRNA from 1 species
UACGUAGGGCGCAAGCGUUGUCCGGAAUUAUUGGGCGUAAAGCGCGCGCAGGCGGUUUCUUAAGUCUGAUGUGAAAGCCCACGGCUCAACCGUGGAGGGUCAUUGGAAACUGGGGAACUUGAGUGCAGAAGAGAAAAGCGGAAUUCCACGUGUAGCGGUGAAAUGCGUAGAGAUGUGGAGGAACACCGAUGGCGAAGGCAGCCUUCUGGGCCAACACUGACGCUCAUGCACGAAAGCGUGGGGAGCAAACAGG